GGAUGUGAGGGUGAUCUGGCUGCGACAUCUGUCACCCCAUUGAUCGCCAGGGUUGAUUUGGCUGAUCUGGCUGGCUAGGUGGGUGUCCCCUUCCUCCCUCACUGCUCCAUGUACGUCCCUCCCAAAGCUGCACGAUUGGUCAAAGAGGACGGCCUUCCCCGAAUAGAGAUACCUGUAUCAUAUACCCUAUACCAGUAUAUGAGUAGCUGCACUCCCCUGCUAGAACCUCCAAACAAGCUCUCAAGAGUUAAAUAGUUAAUGGGCGACCAUCAGAUUAGCAGAUUCUGGAGACUGCAGAAAAGGUGUGAGGACUGCUGCUUUCCCUCAAGGCCUCUGUUC
ensembl:misc_RNA 7SK 7SK RNA